CUCCACGCCACGAGAGGAGGGCGGCGGCCGCCCGCGCGCAUUCAGAUUCAGGCAGCGCGCCGUGUUGUUCGCCGGCGGCUGCGACGACGGGUUGCAGCGGGUCGAGGUUCGUCCGCCCUCUCUCUUACGCCCCGACGCCCCCCACGCCACGGACGGCGCCCUUCCCGGCGGACGCGCACCACCUGUUCGCCCGACGGCCGAACCAGCCCGCUCCGAUGUCCGGGCGCGCUCUGGACGGCAGCGCGCCGCCGCCCUCCGCCACCGAAGUAAUAAGGCAUAGAGAAGAAAGUCCUCUGGUUGAAAUUGUCCAUAGCAUCAUCCAUCCUACCAUUCAACGGCGACAGCUGCUGCCCCACGGUGGGUAGGAUGGCCGGUGCUAUGGGUAGCUUCAACCCGAUUGUUCGUGCCACACCCCCGUCCGUCGUGAGUCAAGCAGGGAGCCAAACCUCUGGUUGAAUUUGAACAUAGCAUCAGCAUCGGCCGUUCAACUGCGGGCGGUGGUAGUGGUUGCUGCCUUUCGGCGCUGGUGCUAUGGAUAGAUUCAACCGAAUGGUUGUGACAUACCCGAUUGAAAGAAGAAGCUUUGCUCCCGCGCACAUCCAGGCCGGUGGGAUUAGAGUGCCCUGGUGGCGGCCGAACCGGUCCAUCGUCGACUGCGGGGAGCCAAUCCUCUGGUUGAACUUGUCCAUAGCAUCAUCCAUCUUGCUGUUCUACCGAGGUAGCCGCUGCCCUUUUGCGCGAUGUGUGCAAUGGCUGAUGCUAUGGGUAAACUCGACCAGAUGGUUGGCAUCCCAAUUGAAAGAAGGAUCCUUGCUGAGUUUUUCUGCAUCAUACAACCUGCCAUCGACUCUGAUAGACUCCUUUUGCUUGCAGAAAGGGUAAGAUGGAUGUUUGCUCUGGACGUAUAAUUGGACGCAGUUCCCUUUGGUUGCCUGAUUAAGUGUUAUGUACUCUAAUUUGAAUCUGCCUUGCUCUAACUAAAUAUUCUAUUAUCCACAAAAGAAGUGCCAAUAGACUUUGAUACUCCUUUUGCAUACUGCGUAGGACGGAUGUAUUCCAUCGGAUGAUUCAUAUUUGUGUACACCCGAAUGCAGUAGUUGCCUGAUUUAUGGAUGGUACCAAGAUCUGGACAGUGCAAAGGUGAUGAAGAGGGGAGGAGUCUAUUGGAUUGAAAGUAGUAGAAUUUCCCUGGUGUUUAAGGUGUCUGUACAAUGUCCUGUGACAUGGUUCAUGUGUUUUGGUUGUCUUUUGUGUUUUGUCUUUUGAGUUCUGCUAGAAUUUUUUGCAGCUAACCUGGGGUCUUCUGCGCAUCUUAGUUUUGUAAGUGUGCAAGCUUUAGAAGGUCAGAAAGCUCCACUAUGUAUGGGAUUUGUACGAUUCUGAACUGAAAAUUCUUUAGAAGGUCAGAAAGCUCCACUAUGUAUCAGUAGAACUGAAAAUCCUCUGGUUGAAUUUGUCCAUAGCAUCAUCCAUCCUACCAUUCAAUGGUGGCUGAUGCUGCCCAACGGUGGGUAGGUGGCUGGUGCUAUGGAUAGCUUCAACCCGAUGUUGGUGACAUACCCCCGUCGGUCGUAAGUCAAGCAGGGAGCCAAUCCUCUGGUUGAAUUUUUCCAUAGCAUCAGCACCGGCCAUUCAACUCUGGUGGUAGUAGUUGCUGCCUUUUGGCGCUGGUGCUAUUGAUAAAUUCAACCGGAUGGUUGUGCAUACCAAUUGAAAGAAGGAGCCUCGCUUAGAGCUAAUUCAGCUGAUAAUCAGUUUGAAGCUGGGAGCCAAUUUUCUCGUUGAGUUUGUAGAGAGCAUCCAUCCAUCCCGCCGUCCAGCUGUGGUAGCUGCUACCCUCUUGCACAAUGCGUAAGACGGCUGAUGCUCUGGAUAAACUCAACCCGAUGGUUGUGCAUACCCGAGUGAAAGAAUAAGCCUUGCUUAAAGUUAUAAGUGAGCCGACAGUCAGUUUGAAGCAGAGCGUCAUCUCAUCUCGGUCACUUGGUUGAAUUUUCUUAUAUCAUCAUACAGCCUGCCUUUGGACUCUGAUGCUCUUUUUGCAGAAUGGGUAGGAUGGAUGUUGCUGUGGACCAAUUCCACUGGAUGAUUCUUGUUAUUUGUCUACUACUGGACAGUUCCUCUUAGUUACCUUUUUCAGGGUUAUUGUACUCAUGCUGACUCUUAACUGAAUAUUCUGUUAUCUAGAAAAAAGAUGGUUGAAAUCUAGACCUAAAUCUUGUUAUUAUUCUUGUUUUUACAGUUUGAAGCUGCAUACAUGGUACCAUGGUCCGAAGGACCAAAAUCUGGACAGUGCAAAACUUUGAACAGGGUUCAUAUGUAUGGGUUGUCUUGCAGGUUCAGUUUGCUGUGGCGAAUUCUUCUGGAAUUUCUUGCCCAAACUUACAAGUUCAGUUUUCUGUAAGUGUGCGUAGUUUAGAAGGUCAGAAACUCAUUCAUGCAUGGAAUUUGUACCAUUCUAAACUGAAAAUUUGUAUCUCAAAAUUAUGAAGGGCCAUAUAUAAAAUUACUGGAUGCUAGAUAAAAAAUUCUUAUUUCCAAAUACAAAAAGCCUGCACCAGAUAUGUUAUUUUGGAAUCAUUGACACAUGAAGUAAGUGCAGUCGUGAAACACUGUUUUUUGAGACCCUCUAUUUCUACUCAGUACUAGUCUAUGCACAACAAGCUCCUUUGUGCUGGAUGAUAUAAAGAUUGCAUCUCAGAUAUUUGUUUGAGCCAUUUUCCUGUCAGUGGAAUCAUUCAAGUCAGUUGUAAGAUCAUGUUUCUGAAGUUUGGUGCAUUUUAACCUCCUAUACAUGUUUGGUAUGAAAAGGAGCUUGACAUUGACCCUUGUCAAUUUUUAGUGACGGCCUUCUAAAUUAGCGCAGCAAAGGAAAAAUACCCUUAUUACUUGCUAGUUAUUGUAAUUUUGUUGAAAGAUGUUGUAUCUGGAAGCGUGUAUAAUUUUCAGUCGAACAGUUCCAUAUACUGUAUAGUAGUACCUGUGUUCCUAAAUUUUUGGCAACUGCCAAGAUGUCUUAUGUUUGGAAACAGAGAAUUUGGAUGUUAAUUUAUGUGAAUUGAAUUCUUUUUUUUUGA